GUGGGUGUAGCUCAGCUGGUUAGAGCAUCGGGUUGUGGUCCCGAGGGUCGCGGGUUCAAAUCCCGUCACCCACCCA
rnacentral:tRNA from 4 species